UACGUAGGGUGCGAGCGUUAAUCGGAAUUACUGGGCGUAAAGCGUGCGCAGGCGGUUUUGUAAGUCAGAUGUGAAAUCCCCGGGCUUAACCUGGGAAUGGCAUUUGGGACUGCAAGGCUGGAGUGUGGCAGAGGAGACUGGAAUUCCCGGUGUAGCAGUGAAAUGCGUAGAUAUCGGGAGGAAUACCGAUGGCGAAGGCAAUCCCCUGGGCCUGCACUGACGCUCAUGCACGAAAGCGUGGGGAGCAAACAGG
rnacentral:rRNA from 1 species